CCUUGCUAAUGGCCUCCCUCCCUCCUUUUCAGCACAGAAUGCAGUGUUGGGAGGGGAGAGAAGGUUCCUGUCAAGGAGCUUUAUGCAUUCAUUAUUCUAUACCCCCAGCCUGGCCAAAGCUGCUGAAGUGUCUGAGAUUCUGCAGUACUGCUCUGUUAGCAGCAGGAGCAAAUGAAAGAAUUCAGUGUCAGCAUUUUCUGUUUCUCAUCUGACAAACAAGGUCAGGUACUUCUUUGAACAACCCAGUUCCAAUAGCUGUGAAACAUAAAGAGACAAGCAGGGGAAGAUUUUCCAGAAAGGCUGGUGGCUAGGCACAAGGUGGGUUUAAGUUUACAGCUUUUGUUGUGGAAGAGGAAAGUUCCCCGCAUCCCAGGCAUCCCUUUUUCAGAAUGGGGAAAAAGAAUCCGGGGUGAAAGGCUCUUUUGUACUUCUUUGCUUCUUGCACUGAAGUGGCAGGUGCAGACCUUGGUUCCCAGGGGAAUCAGAAUGUCAUUGCCAUCCAGGUUUAUGGCCAUUAGUCCUGAUUCUUACUGUUUGUCAAUGCCGCUGAAAACUCUGAGCAUUGAAGCAGAUGAAAGAGAAAGUUCUACAAGCGGUUGGAAGAAAUGGGUGCUCUGGAGGUCAGGGCUGAAGUGAGGAGUUUUGAGAGUUGAGGUUCAGGCUGUGAGGAUUGUAUCUCUCCCCCAGCAAUCCUCUGCCAAGUGAGCCCUUUAUAUGCAAGGCAGUUUAUAUCUCACACACCUCUCUGUGCACCUUCUGUUUUUAACUCCCCAGGAGUAAAUUUUUCAGCCUCUUUCUUUAUAGCAAAUUACACCAUUAAUGUCAUCCUGGCGAAUGAAACAAGAGAAUAGUAUUUAUCAGAGAAAGUCUGGUGAGUUGAAGUCCAAGACCCCAGGAAACAACUAGCCCUGCUGGGCUGCCCCUCCUUCGGAGUGGGACUAUAUGAUCCUCAUCAGGCCAAUCCACGUCACAGAAUGGUCUAGGCAUUGGAUGAGUGCCUCAAUCUGAGCCAAUGAAGGUCAUUGCUGAGACAUUUUACUGGUUGCCAGGCUGCAGGCAUCCCAGGCUUCCUGCUGCCCUCAUGUCUACAACCUGUCGUCUGGAACAUUCCAGGAGCCACUUUUAUCACUUGCAGCAAUCUUCUUCAAAUACCACAGACUGGGCAAUUUAUAAAUGAUGGAAGUUUAUUUGGCUCAUGGUUCUGGAGACUGGGAAGUCCAAGAACAUGGCACUGUCAUCUGCUGUUCAUAAAACCUAGGGGAGAUUUUCUGACCUCACCCUGAAGCAGUUCCUAAGAUCCUCACUUUAGAGAUGCCCUCACUAUAUCCAGAAGAAAGAAGCAUCCUUAUCUCCGAACACAAAACGUCACAGAGAAGAAUCUGAACAAACAGGCCUUGCUAAGUUUCCCUUGGUUUUUUACCAUCAGAUCACACUGUUUUGCCCAAUCAUAUUUCUCCACAACUGUCCACUCUUCACUAAACCUAAGAUGUAUAUAUAUAUAUUUCACUGUUUCUUUGGGUUUUCAUUUCCUUAUGAAGACUCAUGUCAUGUAAAACCUACAUUAACUAAAUAUGUCUAAUUUUCUCUGUUAAUCUGUCUUAGGUAAAAGGGACUUCAGCCAUGAACCUAGGAAUGGGGAGAUAAAGAUGUUUUUCCUCCUACAUGGUGAAGAGAAGAGGGUUUGCUAUCACUCUCCUCCCUACCACGUUUCUCUUUUGGAGGCCUGAGUUCAGAACACUUAUAUAGUCAUCACCUUUGAAAUUAGUUUGAAUUUAAUUUCUUACUGAUUUAAAUUUUUUGGAAGUUUCCAUUUAGAUAAAUCUUUUUCACUGGUGGAAUAUCUAGUGAAGGUUGCAGGGGGAUCUAACUGAGAACAUUUUCUUAAUGAUUGUACCACUUCAGAAGAAAGAGAAUAUACUUAAAAUACUAAAAAAUUAAAUACUGGAUUUGUUUUUCCAAUGCUGCAAAAUAAUUAGGACUGCAAAGAAAAAAAAAUCUUGAGGAGGACCCUUUCCUCUUUAUUUAAAAGGAAAAAUAAGUCAAUUUCCCAAAGAAACAGAAGCUUAGAUUUUUAUGGGACCUCAGGGUGCUACUAAUACUACCCUAACACUAUUGUUAUACUCCAAUACAACUUACGCCAAUACUUGACACUACUGUCAAUACAAUAGUCAAAAUUACUAUUAUUUUUAUUCACAUAUUUUAAGCCACACAUACUUAUUUCAGCAUCCAUGUGUGUUUAGGGCUUCUGUAUCUUCUAGGCCAACACUCUCUCAAGCACAGACUUGAAUCCAGACAGUCUGGCUCCAGGACCCAGGCUCUUAAUAAAUGUACUGUACUGUCUCUCUGUGUCUUCUAUGAACAAUUAAAUCUGAAAAGUCAGGUAAC
rnacentral:lncRNA from 10 species